UACCAGUCCCAGAGACAGAACCAGUCCCAGAGACAGUACCAGAACCAGUUUCAGCACAAGAAGUAGCUGCUGUACCAGAAGCUGUUCCAGAGCCAGAACUUGUGCCUGAACCAGUUGAAGUCCCAGAACCAGUUGAAGUCUCAGAACCAGUUGAAGUCUCAGAACCAGUUGAAGUCCCAGAACCAGNCAGAACCAGUUGAAGUCUCAGAACCAGUUGAAGUCCCAGAACCAGAGUCAGAAUCUGAUCCAGAGACUCUUGUGGAAUCUGAACCGGUGCCUGAAGUGCUCCCGCUGGUGGAGGACAUUUUACCGGAGCUUAUCCCUCGAUUCGCAGAAGAAAUCCUGCUGACCCCUGAACUCUUGAUUGAGACUGAACCAGAACCAGAACCAGAGGAUUUCCUGAACGACGACGUGGCUGCAGCUGAAGAUCAGGUCAAGUUCACUCCUGGAAAGAAACAGAGCAAGUUUGAGUCCAUGAUGACCAAAGAGGAGAUCGAGGAGGAGCAGAGGAUAGAGCUUACACCCGAUUUUACUUCUCUAUAAUCGACCUCAGCUGAGUUAGGAAGAGAUGUUCACGACAUCAGCAGGUUCCUUCCUCCGACUUUUCGUUCAAUGUUGCGUCUGCGUCACGUGUCCAGCCGCUCCGCUGCUAACCCUGCAUGCUGCCGCUAACACCACAGCUAACGAGCUCCUGAAUAAUGAUCCACACGAGACGUCACAAGCUUCGUCUGUCUGACGCAGCUGAUCUGUGAGGAAGAGGAGGAGGAGGAGGAGGAGGAGGAGGAGGAGGAGGAGGAGGAGGAGGAGUGAAGUUCUCAGAAAAUGAAAAGUCUGCUCGUUUUUAUCUUGGUUCAUUUGCUUUGUUUCCUCUGAGGCUCCAGAGUUUAAACAGAAAACAUCUUUAGCCUCAGAAAUCUGAUCUUUUUUUAACUUUCUCUUUUGUGUAAAAUGAUUUUUCAUUCAAAUCCUGAAAACUAAGAGUUGUGUUAACAGAAACGUGUGUGUGUGUGUGUGUAGUUGUGUUAAAGGAGAACAAGGAUCGUGUGGUGAUUUUUAAACUAUUAAACUGUUGUGCAGAGUUCAAACUCUGUGUUUGACUGAGUUUGAUUUCAACAUGAAAUAAAGUUCAAAUCUGCACGU